rnacentral:rRNA from 1 species
GAACGACGCUGGCGGCAUGCCUAACACAUGCAAGUCGAACGAGACCUUCGGGUCUAGUGGCGCACGGGUGCGUAACACGUGGGAAUUUGCCUCGGGGUAUGGAAUAACUCAGGGAAACUUGAGCUAAUACCAUAUAAUGUCUUCGGACCAAGAUUUAUCGCCCUGAGAUAAGCCCGCGUAGGAUUAGCUAGUUGGUGAGGUAAAGGCUCACCAAGGCGACGAUCCUUAGCUGGUCUGAGAGGAUGAUCAGCCACACUGGGACUGAGACACGGCCCAGACUCCUACGGGAGGCAGCAGUGGGGAAUUUUGGACAAUGGGCGCAAGCCUGAUCCAGCAAUGCCGCGUGCAGGAUGAAGGCCUUCGGGUUGUAAACUGCUUUGUACGGAACGAAACGGUGAGCUCUAAUACAGUUUGCUAAUGACGGUACCGUAAGAAUAAGCACCGGCUAACUACGUG